CGGUAACAGAAGAGCUUGCUCUUGCUGACGAGCGGCGGACGGGUGAGUAACGUAUGGGGAUCUGCCGAAUGGAGGGGGACAACAGUUGGAAACGACUGCUAAUACCGCAUAAUGUCGCGAGACCAAAGCAUGGGACCUUAGGGCCAUGCGCCAUUUGAUGAACCCAUAUGGGAUUAGCUAGUAGGUGAGGUAAUGGCUCACCUAGGCGACGAUCUCUAGCUGGUCUGAGAGGAUGACCAGCCACACUGGGACUGAGACACGGCCCAGACUCCUACGGGAGGCAGCAGUGGGGAAUAUUGCACAAUGGGGGAAACCCCGAUGCAGCCAUGCCGCGUGUAUGAAGAAGGCCUUCGGGUUGUAAAGUACUUUCGGUAGCGAGGAAGGGGUUACAUCUAAUAGGUGUAACCAUUGACGUUAACUACAGAGGAAGCACCGGCUAACUCCGUGCCAGCAGCCGCGGUAAUACGGAGGGUGCGAGCGUUAAUCGGAAUGACUGGGCGUAAAGGGCAUGUAGGCGGAUAGUUAAGUUAGGUGUGAAAGCCCCGGGCUCAACCUGGGAAUUGCAUUUAAAACUGGUUAUCUGGAGUAUUGUAGAGGAAGGGUAGAAUUCCAUGUGUAGCGGUGAAAUGCGUAGAGAUGUGGAGGAAAUACCGGUGGCGAAGGCGGGCCUUCUGGACAAAUACUGACGCUGAGAUGCGAAAGCGUGGGGAGCAAACAGGAUUAGAUACCCUGGUAGUCCACGCUGUAAACGAUGUCAACUUGGGGAGUUUGGGUCCUAGAGACCUGGGGCUCCGAAGCUAACGCGAUAAGUUGACGCCCUGGGGGAGUACGGCCGCAGGUUAAACUCAAUGAAUUUGACGGGGGCCCGCACA
rnacentral:rRNA from 1 species